rnacentral:rRNA from 1 species
GACGAAGGGGGCUAGCGUUGUUCGGAAUUACUGGGCGUAAAGCGAGUGUAGGUGGUUGUCCAAGUUGGAUGUGAAAGCCUUGAGCUCAACUCAAGAAAUGCAUUCAGGACUGGGCGGCUAGAGGACCGGAGAGGAUAGUGGAAUUCCCGGUGUAGCGGUGAAAUGCGCAGAUAUCGGGAAGAACACCCGUGGCGAAGGCGGCUACUCUGGGACGGUACUGACGCUGAGACGCGAAAGCGUGGGGGAGCGAACAGGA